rnacentral:lncRNA from 1 species
GUUCCUAAUUUUAUUUAAAUAAGCAAAUGCAAAUCCAGAAAUCUUGUGUGCCAUUUCUUUAGUUCUUGCAUGCCAAGUGCCAUAGAGGUAACGCGCAGUAUCAUUGCAAGUCAGGAGAUGGCGAUGUUGCCGAUGAUCUUUGCGCAUCUCACCUGGUUAUGUAACAAGUCGAUUCGGGUGGUAGUGGUGCACGAAAUGCCAUCUCUGUAAACUGUGCUGCAGGUCUGCCAGAUGCUAACCCUCAUACUGCCUAUGUCCCACCUGGUCCAGAAGCAUUUGAUGAUGAAGUUUCUGCAUUCAGAUUGUAUUGCUGCAACUAAAGAAAGCUUGCUGUUAUGAACUAGCAAGUUUGAGAAGCUUGGAAGAGACCUCCACUUUUGUCUGGCCUAAGCAUUCUCACCCUGGGGAUUACAAGGAAUUGGCAGAAGAUCAUCACCUUGCCUCCUCUCAAGAUAAACCUCCACAGGAUAAAUCCUGCAGUAGCAGGUACUGCAAAAGACAUCCAUACACAAGAAGACACAAAGUGGGAUCUGUGAAUCUGUUUAGCCACCACACAAGAGUGAGAGAUUAUUCAAAUACCACGGCUGGGGGAAAACAAGCAGGUGCAACAUCAAAUUAUGUUGGGCAUUUCUUCAAUGGAUAUUUUGUUCUAAAUCAAAGCAUACUGCCAACUAAUAAGGUAAACAGAAUGCAGUUCAGUUAGGAAAGAAGUAGGUUAAACCAGCUGUUCAUUUACUUUCUCUGCGUCAGAAGCAGGAACUCAGUGAGUUCCUUGAACUCGGCAUUCUCUUUUCUUUCAACUUUAUAUACAUGCCUUCACAAUCUCCUGUAAUAUUUUUUUUCCCUUCAUACUGCAGGCAAUAACUGUGAAACUCUUUAAUUUAACAAUAUGUUCUUUGUCCUGCAACUGUUCCUGUUUUGCAACCACAUAGAUUAUAUGUAUGGGCCUGUAGGAAUAGUCAAACAGUUAAUAAGGGUAGGGUUUGGCAUGCUCUCACUAUGUACAAAUUCUACAAUCAAGUCCUGACAGGAAAGCACUGUAUCUCGUGUGGUUCCCAGUCCUGACUAAAAUACUAAAAUAUGCAAAAUAUCACUACUGGGAAUGAUACCUAUUUCCCAAAGAGAUGUAACACUUUUUUUUUUUUUUCUUCCUUAUCAGUGUAUCAUUGAAAGGUAUUUUGUUUAUAUUUAUGCCAUUUAUUUUCCCAAGCAUACUAGGUUUUCAAAAAUGACCCAAGGUUCACUGUGCUUAAGAUAUAGAGGUGUUAUUUCAAACUGUGUUACACCCUUAAUACUGUGUGACUGAAAGAACUACAAACAGACCUAUACCAAAUAACUGUAUUAACCCCUGAGGUUAAAUACUCAUCUGCAUGAUUCCUUGGCUCUUCUGUUUCAGCCAUGUGCCCUAUGCUUGAGUGUAGUGCACAUCCUACAAGAAGACAGAAAUGCCCUGUGCAAAGGGCACUGCAGCACAGAGGUACUGCACACAGGAUGAGGAAAGCAAGGGUCUACUCUGCAAAGCAACUGCACAAAUGCAGUUACUGAUCCUGCUGAUGAGAUGGGAACCUAAGUAAAAUCCAGUGUGUUCCUCUAUGGUUGAAUCAAGAGCAGCAGGAACACAAGACAGGGAACACAGUAAACAAAAACCACUUUAUUUGUAUCUAAUAAACAGUCAUCAGUGCGAACA